GUAGGUGGUGAUCAAUUUGAUAACAUGGAAGAGGGAGGAUUCCUAGAGUUUGCUGAGCUUUCUCUUGACGAACCAGAACUUGAAUCCUACUUCUGCUCAAAUGAAAUUACUAGGAACAAUCAAGGUUAAGUCUUUGUUUUUCUCAAAUGAUACUAAUGUCUCUUGGCUUUUUGAGACUACUAACCUUUUGAAAAUACCAACCUUUUGAAAAUACUAACUUACUAAGUAUCUAAUGUAACUGUUGCUGUCUGAUUGAUAUUAGUAGUAGUCUAGUAGAUCGAAAAUGUUAUGUUAUGCUGCUGUGAUUUUGAGACUGCUAGCUUUUGAAGAAUAUUAAGUAUCAAAUGUAAUUAUUUGGACACUAUUAAGUAUCUAAUGUAAUUAUUCCAUUGUCUGGCCAUAUUUUCUAUUUAAAUUCCUUAUAUUUAAGCAUUUUUAUUACGAAUUAUUUAAAUUUCCGUUUCCACGUUUCUUUUAUUUUUGAAAAUUGUCGUUUCCCCGUUUCCCCAUUUCCGUUUCCGUUUCACGCUUCCGUGCAACUUAGAUUAGCGCUUCCAAUCUCGUGAUUUUUAUCGUUGUCUCGAUCAUUGCUUCAUUAUCUUGAUUUAAUCAAAUCCAUCAAUUAUGCUUCAAUGUCUCUUCGAUGUCUCUAUUUUUCCAAUCCCUAAAUUAUGUAAUUUCAUAAUUCUUAUAUCACAAAAUUUAUGCUUUUAGAAGUAUGAUUUCUGCAUAAUUAUUAUUGGUUUUGUUUCCAUUAGUCGGAAGGGGAUGGUAAAAUUGGAGGUGCGAUAAAACAAAAUAAGGGAAAAUCGAAUUGGAUACUUGUAGAAAUCGGGUGUUAUAGAGCAGAAGUUUAAUUCUUUGAAAAUCUUUGUUAAAUUUCGACUCUGUAGGUUAGUAUUGAUUCGAGUAAACACUUAAACACUAAAAUGAAUAUUGUUGUGUUAUGAUCUUAUUUUUUAUUGCAAUUAGGUUUUGAUUUUCUUGAUUUGUGGUUAAUUGAGGAAUAACCAAGUUAAUUGGAUUAAUUAUUUUGUGUUUGUGUGUGUGAUCGGGUGGUUGUACUUGCUACUUGCUAGAGGGGGUUCAGAAGGAUCCCAUGCGAAGUGCCUGCAAAAGAGGGCAAGUGCUCAGUAAUGAUGCUCAUGUGUUGGGACUUGGGAGCGUGCUUUCACGGACCAAAAGCUAACAUUAUAGAUUUUGUUGGUAGCCCUUGACAAAAGGAUUGGUUUCUGCACAUUUACUUGAUGGUCGUUCUAGUGCUGGUGCAACUGUUGAUUCUGCAAGACAAAAUUUGGCUGCUACAUUUGUGAAUGCAUAUAUAAGUGCUGGUUUUGGAUAGGUAUUGUACUUGUACAAUAUUAUUUUGUCUCAACAACUUUGUGAGACAUAAUAGGGCUUCAAUCAUGAUGUGAUGAUUGUUACGGGAGAAACUGGUGACUGGACCUGCUGAUUCUUCAAGUGGGGGCUCUUCUGGGAAUUGGCUUUUUAAAAACAAAGAACAACACGGAUUAACUAGUGGUGCUGCAAGUUUGAGUAUGAUUAUGUUGUGGGAUGUUGAUCUUGGACUUGCAUAACUGGAUAAGUACUUCAACAGUACUGACAAUCACGUUGUUGCUGGUGCAUUAAUUGGUGUUCGGAUUGUAAUAUGUGGCAUAAAAAAUGAUUGUGAUCCUCCAGUAAGUUUAAGUUUAUGGUCAUUAUUAAUACUCGAGUAACUUUUGAAUUAUGUUGUACUGUAUUAUGAUUCAUUUUUUCUUGAAGUCUCUGGCACUUUUGUGCGAUUAUGUUGAUAAAGGAAAAUCCAGCUAUCCAAAUCAAUGCCAUUAUGGGUCUGGGCAUUGUUUAUGCAAACACACAGAAUGAACAGGUAUGUUAUGUGUUUGUGCACCGGUUGUCGAAAAUGAUAUGAACGGGAGUAAAGAUAGAUUUAGGAAAACAUUGCUUAGUAUUCAGGACUCAGGAGCUGAUGUACAUUAUUGUUGCCAUUCACUUUUGACAUUUAAAAAAACAUUUACACAAUCCAUGACUUUAUUCCCAAAAUAUGUCUCGGUACUAUUUAUAGUUGGUUGUCUAGCUUACUGGACAUAGCUUAUUUCUUGUAUACAAACAUUCUUCACUUUUGAGUAUUAUCCGUGAAGUUAGGUAGCUCGUAAUUUGUUAUAUGAUUCUAGACAAUUGGUUUCUUUUUAGAUAAGUUAAAAAAAUCAAAUGAAAGUUUUUUAGCCGCCCGCGCGCCAUUGUUGAUCUGUUUGCAGCUAAGUUAUGUUGUUGUACAGAUUUGGUGCAUUGUUGUAGUUGGUAGGUGUUGGUGUUGUAGACUUCCAUAGCUGCUUGGCAAGCUACUGCAGAAGACUGAGGGGAGGGGGGGGGGGGGGGGGGGGGGUGGGGGGCCAUCCUGAUUUGGGUAAGGGGGUUGAUGCACCAGUUUUGGUGGCUCUUUUUCACUUAAAAGCUAUAUUCUACUACAUUUCUAGCCAAUUUUCUUCCCAUUUAACUCACAAUAGUUGACUAUUUGGUACCAAUAUCUCUCUAUUGUUAUUUUUAAAUUCAACUCUCGUUUCGAAUACUUUCAAACAAGAAACAUGAGUUAUACAAUGUAAAUAUAAUUUUAAAGAACUUUUAAAAAUUUCUUCACAAGUCUUAUUGAAUAAAUUCAACUUCCUUUCUAUUAUUUUGCAGGUUAGGCUUAUGAGUUAUAAAUUAUAGAGAAGGAAGAUUGCAGAUCAUAAAAACUAUGUCAAACCAAGUGAAAUUACAGGACCAAAAUGGUUGCUCAUUGUCAGGCCUUGGUUGAAAUUGUAACUGCCCAGCAUGAGCUGCAUCUACAAUCUGAUCUGGAUGCUUGUGGCUGCAAUUCUUGUACUUUGUUGUUGUGAUUAAUUUUCUGCAGUUCAUGGUGAGGAUUUUGUUUCAGCAGGCUGCAUUUUCUUGAUUUGAUUAUUGUUGAGCUGCUGCACAUCUAACUUUUCUGUUUGGAGACGGUGAAGACUGGCGGGGGACUACAACGUUGCUUUUCCUAUUUUCGAAUUUAGUGGUCUAGAGACCGAAGUUGGCUUUCUUUUUGUUUUCAUUAUCAGAUUGCUUAGCCAAACAAAAAAUUGGUUUUUGUGGAUUUUUUUGUAAGAAAUAUUGAAAUUAUAUCAAUUUAAAUUAUUAUUUAUCGUGUA